GUGGGAGUUGAAGUCCAAAACAGCUGGAGAUGGGGUCCAUGUUGGUCCAGGCCUGCUGGGCUGAGGUCUCGCCAAACUAGGAAUGCAAGGGUCCCAUAGCCUUGAGCCAUUCAACGUCCUCGAUGCGCCAUAAGAGGGGAAAGGGGACUGGGUCCGGCUUUGGUCGUCCUGGGGAGGAGCGUCCUUUCUGAGCGCCUUCCAGGAAAGCUACGUGACUGACGGGCAGAGGCGGAACCGGAUCCAAAGCGGGGCGGAGAAAGGCCAAAGGGGACAAAGAGCAGUGAGGUUGGGAGGAGGGGGAGGCACACGGGUGGUGGAAUUUCCCCUGGAAACGAGGAGGAUCCGGAUAUUUUCAGGCAGAGAAAGGUGGUGGAGGGCAUGGGGCGUCUCCUAAGCCUGGCAGUAUCCCACACAUAGGUCCACCCAGAGGAAAAGAGUUCUUGCCAUGUAUCAAUGGCAGCACUGAGCGCAUAGGGAAGCUGAUGAAGAAACACAAACUAUCUACAGAACCACUAGGAAAAUCCAACAAAUGCUACAUUCAGCAAAGGACAAGAGGGAUCCUCUCACCUCUGCAGGAGUCUACCCUAUACCAUGCAGCUGUGGACAAGUCUAUAUCAAGGUCAAGGUUGGCAAAAGCUGGGGCAAACAGUAGGAGCUCACUCCACUCACCCGAUUCAAACUGCCAACCUUUUGGUCAGCAAGUUGAGCAGCUCAGUGGUUUAACCCACUGCACCAUUGGGGGCUACAUAGGCUACAAGUCUAUAUAGGGACCACCAAAGGCAGCAUUGCCCAAACACAAAUCAAGGAACAUGGAAGGCACUACAGACUAACUCAGCCAGAACCAACCUGGACACAGCAUAUUAUUUGAGAACACAGAAAUACUGGACCACACUAACAACCACUACGUCAGACUACACAGCGAAGCCAUUGAAAUCCUCAAGCAUGUGGACUUCAAUUUCAACAGAAAGGAAGAAACCAUGAAAAUGAACAAAAUCUGGCUACCUGUAUUAUAAAAACUCUAAAAUCAGGACAGGAAAUAAAGAACCACACUCUGAAAACAGGGGAAUUCCAGACAUGAAACAAUCAGGGCCAGCUAACACUUCGCAACAAAGGAUUCCCCCAGCCAGGAAUCAGCCAGGCCCUGAAGCUGCAAGGCUAUUCAAUGCUAAUCAAGGUGAUUAAUUGCAACAUUCAUACCUGUCUCAAACAGACAAGAGUUAUUUCUCCCGCCCUGGACCUUCCACAGAUAUGCAAACCUUUCUUGCCUAGUUUCCAAUAUACCUCACAACCUCUGAGGAUGCCUGCCAUAGAUGCAGGAGAGAAUGCUUCUGGAACAUGGCCAUACAGUCUGAAAAACUCACAGCAAUCCAGUAUCCACACACUUUGUGCGUGAUUUUACAUAGGUCGUUUUAGGCCCCUUUCUCCCCCGCUGCAUAAAAUCCACAUUGAACUGGAUUAUAUGGCAGUAUGGACUCAGAUAAGAUAGUUCAAAGCAGAUAUUGUGGAUUAUCUGCCUUGAUAUUCUGGGUUAUAUGGCUGUGUGGAAGAGCCGUUACUUUCAGGUCCUCCACAUCCAUCUGUGGGAAACAUGUUUUAAGAACACCAGCAAGCCAACCUUGAUUUUGGCAUUUAAUACAAGGAAUUGGAUUUUCCUAUAUCAGUAUAGGCAGUCUCCAAGUUACAAACAUCCUACUUACAAACCACUCAUGAUUAAGAAUGGGGCUGAGACAACAGGAAAUGAACAAAAUUACUCCUCAGAAGGGAAAUUCACUUCUGAAAGAGUUAUUAAGGGGAAAAAGUCUCCACUGAGGCUUUAUCUCCAAUUCUGUUUCCACAACAAGGCAUUUCCCCCCAAAAUCCAAUGAUAGAAAGUGAGGUGAAAUCUCAACAGGGCACAGAGCAAAACAAAUACUGUGAAGGGGGGGGGGGGGCGUUAAGCCUUUCCUAUGCUAUCCAAAGCUAAUAGUUAUGGCUGGAGUUAUAUUUAAAAAUGUACAUGUUCCAAUUUACAAAUAAAUUUAAAAACAAA